rnacentral:lncRNA from 1 species
UGGGUAUGCACCGGGUAUACAAGUACCCUUUCAAGCAGGUGGUCGCCAGCUUCCUCUGAAGCUAUGAAUGGAUAAAAAAUGUCAUCUCAAAAAAAUCUUGGAGGAAAAAAUAGAUGUAUCAACAGGAAUCAUCUAUAGAGAGAGGAUUGCAAUCUGCCAGAAUGUGAUUCCAGAAAUUUUAAGAAAGGUGAGUAUUUUAAAGGUCCCUAUUAUCCAGUUAGAAGAGGAAUCAUAGCUCAAUCCUCAGGGAAGAAACAUGGCUAUAAGGAAUCACUGUCUUAUGUGGACACAGUAUGCAUCCAUGAAGGAAGAGUGGAAAAUUCAAAUUGGACAGAAUUCAUUCAAAGAGGCAGGAUUUUAAUCACAGGGGCUGGAUUUGUCAACUGUGUUUUGGAAACUUUUGCUGGCACAUUCUUAAGAUAGGGAGUCAGAAGGGAAUUAGAAUAAUGGAGAUGCUGCUAAAAGAACAGUGUGGUGCCCCCUUAGCUGAAUAAAGAAUCAUCAGGGAGCUGUGUCCAGAUGUGUUCUUUUUUUUCAACAAUGACCUCUUGGCCACAACACACCAUAGGCACAGUUCCUGGAAUGCAGGUUUGAAGAUACAGCAUUGGUGUUCUAAAGAAGAGGAGACCUCUCUGCCAGUACAUAAAAUGAUACCCUCCCCUUGGAGCUUGCUUCAAGUAGUGGGACUCAUGGAUACGAGAC